rnacentral:tRNA from 1 species
GGGCGGGUAACUCAGUGGUGAGAGUGCCGUCCUCACACGGCGGAAGUCGGGAGUUCGAAUCUCCCCCCGCCCACCA